UGCCAGCCGCCGCGGUAAUACGGAGGGGGUUAGCGUUGUUCGGAAUUACUGGGCGUAAAGCGCACGUAGGCGGACUAUUAAGUCAGGGGUGAAAUCCCGGGGCUCAACCCCGGAACUGCCUUUGAUACUGGUAGUCUAGAGUUCGAGAGAGGUGAGUGGAAUUCCGAGUGUAGAGGUGAAAUUCGUAGAUAUUGGGAAGAACACCAGUGGCGAAGGCGACUUCCUGGGCCAAUACUGACGCUGAGGUGCGAAAGCGUGGGGAGCAAACAGGAUUAGAUA
rnacentral:rRNA from 1 species